AUGGAUGGGAUGACGGACAGGGGGUCAGUGAAGACUGUGAUCCGGUGCAUAGGGGAAACGCAGACGAACGAGUCAGAAAGGAAGUCCAAUGGAGGAAUUCAGGGCGCAGUGCAAGGUCCAGAACCAACAGCAACAAUGACCUUCAUCACCAUCUUUAUCUGGACACUUCUCAUCUCUGCUCAAGAAUCCAGUGGACAGGUAACUGUGACUCAGACUCCAGCAGUGAAAUCUGUUCUCCCUGGACAGACAGUCACUGUGAACUGUAAGACCAGUGCAACUGGGAUCGAAGAGCAUUUCAGUGACAGUGGAUCUGGGACUGACUUCACUCUGACCAUAACAGGAGUCCAGGCUGAAGAUGCAACAGAUUUUUACUGUCAGAGUUUCCACUACCCCAGCACUAACCGUGUGUUCACAAAGUGUUACACACCCCACCUGCAAUAG